UAGGGAAUCUUCGGCAAUGGGGGGAACCCUGACCGAGCAACGCCGCGUGAGUGAAGAAGGUUUUCGGAUCGUAAAGCUCUGUUGUUAAGGAAGAACGAGUGUGAGAAUGGAAAGUUCAUGCUGUGACGGUACUUAACCAGAAAGGGACGGCUAACUACGUGCCAGCAGCCGCGGUAAUACGUAGGUCCCGAGCGUUAUCCGGAAUUAUUGGGCGUAAAGCGCGCGUAGGCGGUUUUUUAAGUCUGAUGUGAAAGCCCACGGCUCAACCGUGGAGGGUCAUUGGAAACUGGAAAACUUGAGUGCAGAAGAGGAAAGUGGAAUUCCAUGUGUAGCGGUGAAAUGCGCAGAGAUAUGGAGGAACACCAGUGGCGAAGGCGACUUUCUGGUCUGUAACUGACGCUGAUGUGCGAAAGCGUGGGGAUCAAACAGG
rnacentral:rRNA from 1 species